rnacentral:rRNA from 1 species
AACGUAGGAGACAAACGUUAUCCGGAGUUACUGGGCGUAAAGGGCGUGUAGGCGGUUAGUUAAGUCUGGCGUGAAAGCUCUCGGCUAAACCGGGAGAGGUCGUCGGAUACUGGCAAACUAGAGGACGGUAGAGGCGUGUGGAAUUCCGGGUGUAGUGGUGAAAUGCGUAGAUAUCGGGAGGAACUCCUGUGGCGAAAGCGGCGCACUGGACCACAACUGACGCUGAGGCGCGAAAGCUAGGGGAGCAAACAGG